UGGGGAAUAUUGGACAAUGGGCGCAAGCCUGAUGCAGCCAUGCCGCGUGUAUGAAGAAGGCCUUCGGGUUGUAAAGUACUUUCAGCGAGGAGGAAGGCGUUGUGGUUAAUAACCGCAACGAUUGACGUUACUCGCAGAAGAAGCACCGGCUAACUCCGUGCCAGCAGCCGCGGUAAUACGGAGGGUGCAAGCGUUAAUAGGAAUUACUGGGCGUAAAGCGCACGCAGGCGGUCUGUCAAGUCGGAUGUGAAAUCCCCGGGCUCAACCUGGGAACUGCAUCCGAAACUGGCAGGCUAGAGUCUUGUAGAGGGGGGUAGAAUUCCAGGUGUAGCGGUGAAAUGCGUAGAGAUCUGGAGGAAUACCGGUGGCGAAGGCGGCCCCCUGGACAAAGACUGACGCUCAGGUGCGAAAGCGUGGGGAGCAAACA
rnacentral:rRNA from 1 species